rnacentral:rRNA from 1 species
CGUAGGGUGCAAGCGUUAAUCGGAAUUACUGGGCGUAAAGCGUGCGCAGGCGGUUAUGUAAGACAGUUGUGAAAUCCCCGGGCUCAACCUGGGAACUGCAUCUGUGACUGCAUAGCUAGAGUACGGUAGAGGGGGAUGGAAUUCCGCGUGUAGCAGUGAAAUGCGUAGAUAUGCGGAGGAACACCGAUGGCGAAGGCAAUCCCCUGGACCUGUACUGACGCUCAUGCACGAAAGCGUGGGGAGCAAACAGGAUUAGAUACCCUGGUAGUCCACGCCCUAAACGAUGUCAACUGGUUGUUGGGUCUUCACUGACUCAGUAACGAAGCUAACGCGUGAAGUUGACCACCUGGGGAGUACGGCCGCAAGGUUG